UAAGGACGACUGCCGGUAGACAACCGGAGGAAGGUGGGGAUGACGUCAAGUCAUCAUGGCCCUUACGGCCUGGGCUACACACGUGCUACAAUGGUCGGUACAAAGGGUUGCCAAGCCGCGAGGUGGAGCUAAUCCCAUAAAACCGAUCGUAGUCCGGAUCGCAGUCUGCAACUCGACUGCGUGAAGUCGGAAUCGCUAGUAAUCGUGAAUCAGAAUGUCACGGUGAAUACGUUCCCGGGCCUU
rnacentral:rRNA from 1 species